GUGCACAAACACGUUUAACGAUGUAUCAUUGAGGAGAUGAUGAAAUCCACAGAAGAGAAAAAGGAAGUUCUACAAGGCCCACUAUGACAACAGGCAGUGCAGGUCUUCACCUGACCUCCUCACUGAUGUCUCCAAACAGGUGUAUGAACAGACCUGUUCCCCAAUGCCGGCUGUGCCCCGAAUGGGAAGCGCAGUCAGUCUGCUGUGGAGGUGCUGUUCACCACUAAGGAUCUGGAGGGCCCCCAGCCCCACCCCCAGGAUGCCCACACGUCUGCCUUCGCCCAGUCCCGCUCCUCCUCCUUCUCUUGGGCCGAGCCAGGGCCACAGUGAGGGGGCCACCCUCCGGGCCAGACAGAGCUUCAACCGCAGCUGAGGGGCCUCAAGAGGGGACGACUUCUGGCCAACACACAGCAGCUGGUCCCGCUUUACCCCUACCCGGAGCUGCACCCCGCCCUGCCCCGCUCUGGCCUACAUGUCCGGCGCCUCUUUCUCCUUGGACCACUCUCCAGCCCCACUGCCUCGGUCCUGCUAUGUCCCUGGCCCGCUCCCCAGGCCACCCUCCUGGACGACUUCAUCCUCCAGUUUCUCCAGCCCGUCCUCGUCGACUCCCUGUCUGAGGC